ensembl:lncRNA
UGCUAUUUGUGAGAUACAGUAAUGAAUUAUGGUUUAUAUCAUAAUAUUUGACAUUGAACAUAAUUAAACGAAACAUUUACUGGGGAUACAUUUUACUUUCUGCAGUACUUCAUCUCUUUCUGCAUCUUUUCCUUUCCUUCACACCGUAAUGUAAUGUUGAGCUCAGGUAUUUAGCAAAAACAGUCUGCUGGAUACUUUACGUCUCUGAUCAAGCUGAAUCUGUAAGUUAUCAUGUCUAAACACAGGACGAAAAAGCUCAUCAUUGAAGAUGAUGAGCCAAAGCAAGAUGAGCUGAAUCCAUUUUCUUUCAAGGAGUUCGUCCGAUACAAGAACCAGCAGUCUUGUACUACAGAAGCCACAGAGGUGUGUGGUGGAGCAUUCAACGUCGAACAGGAUUAUAAUACCUCCAUAGAUUUUGCCACGAAGGGGCCGUUCUUCUCAGACCCGUCUGCGCUCUGUCAGCCUUCUGAAAACGAACCUGAGGAAACAUGGAUUGAAAGCUGCCACCCAUCAGCCCUUGAUGGUUCUCAUGACUUCGAACUAUCUGGUACUUUAGACCUCGGUGCUUUCUCUGAGCAGUCAUCUCUCUGCAGUGAUGAGAGGGGAGCACAUGUAACUGAAUGGGAACUGUGUAAUUCUGACUUCCUGCCAAAGAGCCACUUAGCUAGAAGAAGCACAGGAAGCUAUGAGGGUGAUGAAGAGACUUCAGUGAUUGACAUUUCCUUCCAUCCGAAGAGGAGUAAUGCUGAAAAUGGCACAAAGAAUCCCCAACAGCUUAGAGAAGAGAAUUCUCUACUCAGAAAGCAAAUCAAAGAACUCCUUAGAAGGUCAGAAUCUGACUCCAAAAGGAUCAAACAACUGACGGAUGAGUUGCACAACAAGAAGUUGCAGGAGGAGAGAGAGGCUAAGGCUUUGGAGACAAUGGUGCAGUCAGUAGAACAAAACCUUGAGUUAAUGACGGUAUUAAGCACUGUGUUAUCUUUCAUAUGA